CAGUAGCCGCGGGAACACGGAGGGUGCAAGCGUUAAUCGGAAUUACUGGGCGUAAAGCGCACGUAGGCGGCUUGGUAAGUUAGAGGUGAAAGCCCGGAGCUCAACUCCGGAAUUGCCUUUAAGACUGCCGAGCUAGCAGGUGAGAGAGGUAAGUGGAAUUCCGAGUGUAGAGGUGAAAUUCGUAGAUAUUCGGAAGAACACCAGUGGCGAAGGCGGCUUACUGGCUCAUACUGGACGCUGAGGUGCGAAAGCGUGGGGAGCAAACAGGAUUAGAUACCCGCGUAGUCCCUGUCUCUUAUAC
rnacentral:rRNA from 1 species